GGAGGAGUUGGAAGCUCAGUGGGUGAGCGCAUGCUUUGUAGGUAUGGUGUACUGGGUUCAAUUCCCAGCUUCUCCC